GACGAACGCUGGCGGCGUGCCUAAUACAUGCAAGUCGAGCGCAGGAAGCCGUUCCGAACCCUUCGGGGGGACGACGGUGGAAUGAGCGGCGGACGGGUGAGUAACACGUAAAGAACCUGCCCAUAGGUCUGGGAUAACCACGAGAAAUCGGGGCUAAUACCGGAUGUGUCAUCGGACCGCAUGGUCCGCUGAUGAAAGGCGCUCCGGCGUCGCCCAUGGAUGGCUUUGCGGUGCAUUAGCUAGUUGGUGGGGUAACGGCCCACCAAGGCGACGAUGCAUAGCCGACCUGAGAGGGUGAUCGGCCACACUGGGACUGAGACACGGCCCAGACUCCUACGGGAGGCAGCAGUAGGGAAUCUUCCACAAUGGACGAAAGUCUGAUGGAGCAACGCCGCGUGAACGAUGAAGGCUUUCGGGUCGUAAAGUUCUGUUGUAAGGGAAGAACAAGUGCCGCAGGAAAUGGCGGCACCUUGACGGUACCUUGCGAGAAAGCCACGGCUAACUACGUGCCAGCAGCCGCGGUAA
rnacentral:rRNA from 1 species